rnacentral:rRNA from 1 species
UACAUGUGGGGCAAGCGUUGUUCGGAAUUACUGGGCAUAAAGGGUGCGUAGGCGGCUUGUUAAGUCAGGGGUGAAAGUUUUCGGCCCAACCGGAAAAUUGCCUUUGAUACUGGCGAGCUCGAGUGCGUGAGGGGUAACCGGAACGAGCAGUGUAGCGGUGAAAUGCGUAGAUAUUGCUCGGAAGGCCAACGGCGAAGGCAGGUUACUGGUACGCAACUGACGCUGAGGCACGAAAGCGUGGGGAGCGAACAGG